CAACUUUCAGCAACGGAUCUCUUGGCUCUUGCAUCGAUGAAGAACGCAGCGAAAUGCGAUAAGUAAUGUGAAUUGCAGAAUUCAGUGAAUCAUCGAAUCUUCGAACGCACCUUGCGCUCCUUGGUAUUCCGAGGAGCAUGCCUGUUUGAGUGUCAUGA
rnacentral:rRNA from 1 species